GAUGAACGCUGGCGGCGUGCCUAAUACAUGCAAGUCGAGCGAACAGACGAGGAGCUUGCUCCUCUGACGUUAGCGGCGGACGGGUGAGUAACACGUGGAUAACCUACCUAUAAGACUGGGAUAACUUCGGGAAACCGGAGCUAAUACCGGAUAAUCUAUUGAACCGCAUGGUUCAAUAGUGAAAGACGGUUUUGCUGUCACUUAUAGAUGGAUCCGCUCCGCAUUAGCUAGUUGGUAAGGUAACGGCUUACCAAGGCAACGAUGCGUAGCCGACCUGAGAGGGUGAUCGGCCACACUGGAACUGAGACACGGUCCAGACUCCGACGGGAGGCAGCAGUAGGGAAUCUUCCGCGAUGGGCGAAAGCCUGACGGAGCAACGCCGCGUGAGUGAUGAAGGUCUUCGGAUCGUAAAACUCUGUUAUUAGGGAAGAACAAAUGUGUAAGUAACUAUGCACGUCUUGACGGUACCUAAUCAGAAAGCCACGGCUAACUACGUG
rnacentral:rRNA from 1 species